rnacentral:tRNA from 1 species
UAGUAAUUAAACUAUUGUUACUUUGUUUUGAAAAUAAAGUUUAAGAAUUUAGUUCUUGUAGUUUU